AUUGAACGCUGGCGGCAUGCUUUACACAUGCAAGUCGAACGGUAACAGGCCGCGAGGUGCUGACGAGUGGCGAACGGGUGAGUAAUGCAUCGGAACGUGCCCAGUCGUGGGGGAUAACUACUCGCAAGAGUAGCUAAUACCGCAUACGAUCUAUGGAAGAAAGCGGGGGACCGUAAGGCCUCGCGCGAUUGGAGCGGCCGCUGUCAGAUUAGGUAGUUGGUGGGGUAAAGGCUCACCAAGCCAACGAUCUGUAGCUGGUCUGAGAGGACGACCGGCCACACUGGGACUGAGACACGGCCCAGACUCCUACGGGAGGCAGCAGUGGGGAAUUUUGGACAAUGGGCGCAAGCCUGAUCCAGCAAUGCCGCGUGCAGGAAGAAGGCCUUCGGGUUGUAAACUGCUGUUAUACGGAACGAAACGGCUCUGGUUAAUACCCGGGGCUAAUGACGGUACCGUAAGAAUAAGCACCGGCUAACUACGUG
rnacentral:rRNA from 1 species